AGCAGAUGCGAAAGCAGGCCUUAGUGAUCCGGUAGUUGCGUGUGGAAGCGCUAUCGCUCAACGGAUAAAAGGUACUCUAGGGAUAACAGGCUUAUCUCCCCCAAGAGUCCAUAUCGACGGGGAGGUUUGGCACCUCGAUGUCGGCCCGUCGCAUCCUGGGGCUGAAGAAGGUCCCAAGGGUUUGGCUGUUCGCCAAUUAAAGCGGCACGCGAGCUGGGUUCAGACCGACGUGAGUCAGGUCGGUCCCUACCUUCCGUGGGUGUAGGAGAUUUGAGGAGUUCUCUCCCUAGUACGAGAGGAUUGGGAGGGACGGACCUCUGGUGUUCCUGUUGUCGUGCCAGCGGCAGCGCAGGGUAGCUAUGUCCGGUUCGGAUAAGCGCUGAAGGCAUAUAAGCGCGAAGCCAGUUCCAAAACGAGAUCUCCCCAUCAGGGUCCUGGAAGACCACCAGGUUGAUAGGCCGGAGGUGUAAGCGCAGCGAUGUGUUUAGCUGACCGGUACUAAUCGCCCGAUCGGCAUA
rnacentral:rRNA from 1 species